rnacentral:rRNA from 1 species
UACGUAGGGUGCGAGCGUUAAUCGGAAUUACUGGGCGUAAGCGUGCGUAGGCGGUUUGUUAUGUCUGCUGUGAAAGCCCCGGGCUUAACCUGGGAAUGGCAGUGGAAACUGGCGGGCUUGAGUGUGGCAGAGGGGGGUGGAAUUCCGCGUGUAGCAGUGAAAUGCGUAGAGAUGCGGAGGAACACCGAUGGCGAAGGCAGCCCCCUGGGCUGACACUGACGCUGAGGCACGAAAGCGUGGGGAGCAAACAGG